rnacentral:lncRNA from 1 species
NNNNNNNNNNNNNNNNNNNNNNNNNNNNNNNNNNNNNNNNNNNNAGCAGAGAUGGCGGCUGAAAUGCCUAAGGAACACAUGAACAGUUAUGAACUUUUUAAAAACAAAGCCAGAUUCAGAAUGGGGCUAACACCCGAGCAUGCCCGUCGGCGGUUCAGAGCCCUAAGGUGGAAACCAGAUGUGUCAUUUACCCGGCAUGCCUACCACAUUGACAAAAAUUGUGAUGUCUGGGUAUCAGGAGCAAAUGUUAAAUCUCUGGAAGAUCUGGUUUCCCUAGUAAAAAUGGAGCAGUUUUUAGAGGGUGUUCCUGAGGAAAUAGAAAGGUACAUCCUAGAUAGGAAGCCCAAAACUGUAACUGAGGCGGGGGAGAUUGGAGCCAAAUGGGUAGAGGUGGCAGAAAAGAAAAAAACUAGUAGCAGUUGGAGCGAAUAUUAGAAGGGGCAAGCCGAAACAAAACCUUACCACCGGGGACAACCCAAGGCCCCACCCACAUCCCACAACCCCAGACGCCUUCUCACCCCACCACACCAGUCUCCACCAACCAACAUCACCCCGGUGAUACCUUAGCAGGGCAAUGUUUUAAAUGUAAUGAACUGGGACGUAUAAAGGCUCACUGCCCCAAGAACCCCAACCGAUUACAGUUCAUUACACCCCAAUCACACCAAAGAUCCCCAGACCCAGAUGCCUCUCUCAUACCCUCGGAGCGAAAAGAAACCUUGAGAGUGGGCGGAAAGAAGAUUAUCGCUUGCAGAGACACUGGAGCACAAGUGUCAACUAUCCACCAAUUCCUAGUGGACCCCAAACUCAUCAACCCGGAGGCUACAGUGACAAUUCAACCCUUCGUGUCACAGUCUGUAACUUUGCCUACAGCCAAGUUGCAUGUCCAGUACAAAGGCUGGUCAGGAAUGUGGACUUUUGCAGUCUAUGACAAUUAUCCCAUUCCCAUGCUGCUGGGGGAAGACUUGGCCAACCAGGUGAAGCUAGCCAAGAGGGUGGGAAUAGUCACCCGCAGCCAGGCUAAGCAAGCUUUCACCCCCAUCCCUGUUCCUGAGCCAUCCACCAGGGCCCCGUCUGUGUUACCAGAGACCCAAACAACGGUGGUGGAACCGGAUCCCCUGCCAACGACUGCAACAGCCUUAGUGGAUCCAAUCCCAGAAACCCAGCCAAAACCAGUCCCAAAACCGGAACUGGCAACGCAACCAGCACCAGAACCAUUGCCAGCACUGAGUCCAGCGCUUGCAAACCCAUCUACAACUUCAACGCCAGAGGGCACCAGCGAGCCUGACCUAGUGGAAGCAGCAGAUAACCCUACCCAAGAGGCUCAGCCAGA